CAGUCGCCGCGGUAAUACGAAGGGUGCAAGCGUUAAUCGGAAUUACUGGGCGUAAAGCGUGCGUAGGCGGUUUGUUAAGUCUGCUGUGAAAUCCCCGGGCUCAACCUGGGAAUGGCAAUGGAUACUGGCAAGCUAGAGUGUGUCAGAGGAUGGUGGAAUUUCCUGUGUAGCGGUGAAAUGCGUAGAUAUAGGAAGGAACACCAGUGGCGAAGGCGACCACCUGGACUAAUACUGACACUGAGGUGCGAAAGCGUGGGGAGCAGACAGGAUUAGAUACCCGAGUAGUCCCUGUCUCUUAUAC
rnacentral:rRNA from 1 species